AGCACUUGGGUUUGUUUUUGUUAAGCUUGGGGGCAAAGACUUAUACACAGAUGCAAAAAUAAACCCUCUUUUACAACUCAUUGUUUAGGGUGAGUUUUGAGACAGGUAAGAAGGAACAUG
ensembl:snoRNA